CCUACGGGUGGCAGCAGUGGGGAAUAUUGCACAAUGGGGGAAACCCUGAUGCAGCAACGCCGCGUGAGUGAUGAAGGUCUUCGGAUUGUAAAGCUCUGUCUUUUGGGACGAUAAUGACGGUACCAAAGGAGGAAGCCACGGCUAACUACGUGCCAGCAGCCGCGGUAAUACGUAGGUGGCGAGCGUUGUCCGGAAUUACUGGGCGUAAAGGAUGCGUAGGCGGAUACUUAAGUCAGAUGUGAAACUCCCGGGCUUAACUUGGGAACUGCAUUUGAAACUGGGUAUCUAGAGUGCGGGAGAGGAAAGUGGAAUUCCUAGUGUAGCGGUGAAAUGCGUAGAGAUUAGGAAGAACACCAGUGGCGAAGGCGACUUUCUGGACCGUAACUGACGCUGAGGCAUGAAAGCGUGGGUAGCAAACAGGAUUAGAUACCCUAGUAGUC
rnacentral:rRNA from 1 species